AAACUGUAAUGGGAACCAACAUUUUUUAUUUGGGAGAUAUGGACCAACAAUUUUUUCUUAAUAAUCGGUGGUUGAACACAGCACUUUACUUUUUGAGGAAACUUCAGUUCAAAUGGAUGCAUAUAAGCAAUCCACCUCUGCAUCAGUUCCCAGUACACAGGUAAGAUGAUCUGUAGUCUAUACAGCAUGUUAUGUUACCUUAAGACCAAAGUGCCAGAAGAACACAACACUGUUAAGACCCCAGUGAUUAGCAAUGAGCUCCUCCCAGCACACUAAAGCUCUAAUUUUCUUUAGUCGCAUCUCUUGAAUUGCACUAGACAAAGGUUGAAAUGGCAUCAAGGAGUCUCACUAGACAAAUC
rnacentral:misc_RNA from 1 species